rnacentral:lncRNA from 1 species
UUCCUAAAGUCAUCUUUAGCAGUAUUUUUACUGUUGUUGUUUUGUUUUCAGUGAAGCCAAGGUUUCAGUGUUAGAGUAGUAUUCUCCUAGACUCAGAGGAAGCUUUAAGGGCCAAUUUCCAGUUUCUGUGUCUAAAGAGAAGCUUGAUAAAUGUUCGUUCUCUGGAUGUUGUUUCAGGCCUAAGUAGUUUAGUGUGAUGUUGCAGCAGUCAGUUUCACAGUUAAUUAAUAGUCUUUUCAAGGCAGCUGCUUUGGAAUGUAUAGUGGAACACCAGUAGUCUUUACUUUCCUCUGAAAGUCUGUCAUUACACUUACAAAUAUUUAUUGCCCUUCCUGAGGGUCCUUUGGCCUAGAAGAUUGUUUUCAUGGAAUCUAUGUCAAAUUCUUUUAAUUUACUACACUUUAUUAAUAGAUUGAAAGCCAUUUUUCUGGGACAACAAAGUUGUUAUUCUCAAAAGUUGGUAAAAUUUUUUAAGAAGAUAUAAUUCAUACUACAAUAACAGCAUCUUCAUACUACAUAGUUCUAGCAACUUUGAGACACUCUCAAAAAGUUUGAGAAGUUUUAACUGGAGAUUAACAAUAACAAACACCUUGUAUUAGUUUUAGCAACCCAAAGUUGUUCUGUUUCCAGAAGGACAUCAAAGUGAGUGUAGUUGCAAUCUGUCAAAUAAAAGAUUGGUAUCUACUAUGUAUGUUUUCAACACCUCUUUAAUCUUGGUUGUCCAACCUAUAAUGUGACUGACUUCCAGCCUUUUUAGGACAUUGCCAGAGUCAGGGAGCUUGUUUUCUUAACAAACAUGCCAGAAAACUAUAAAGAAAAAAUAACUUUUUGGAGGGGGUGGGAGAUAACUUUAAUACAUUAAGCAAAUUAAAUCAAAGGACAAAAAUAUAACAGUAGACACAAGACAAUUUUGAAUCAUUAACAAAAUGUGAGGUAGACUAGUGAAAUUCACCAAAUUUUGGUUAAGAACAUUUUACAGUAAUAACACGGGUGCCCCAUUUUCUAAAAAUCACAAAAAGCAAUUGCAUAAAUUACAGCCAAAAAAAAUUAUAACAAUUGUCUUCUAGUUUUUCGUUUACAUUCAGUAUUAACCUGUGUGAACUGUCAUACAUGCUGAGGUUCAGCAGGUCUACAGGUGAGUUACUGUGUGGGCCUAGCGAAUCCAUUCAUCCCACAUCAGUGUCCUAAGGGAUUGCAAAGCUUAAAGCUGAACACACUAGGAUAUAUAUAUAUAUACACACAAAUCAUGGUGUCCUGUGCUUGUGCAAUUUUAUCCUUAAAGAAGGACCUAACAUACUCAAGAAUUAUACUGAUGAUAAGAUGAUUUUAAAAGAUCCAAACAUUAGUAAGAUAGGCUUUGAAAAGAAUAGGCAGAUCAAUUUCUCCAUUAUAGGGGUGAUGGUCUUUUGGCUUUAUUCUGGCAUAUCUCUUCCAGAGUUAAAUAGUAUUUAAGAGCUCAUAAUAAUAAUUUGAAUUUUCAGAGUGCAGCCCUAACUAAUGGAGUACCUGCAUCUGAUGUAACUACUUAAAAAAAAAGUUCUUUAAACUAUGAAGUCAUAAAGCCAGAAGAAACCCUGAGAGGCCAUCCACCCCAGGUACAAUUGUUUCAGAAUUCUUUCAAGUAUUUUAUUUGCCCUAUGUAAAUGUUAUUGGAAUAUUGCACAGACAGUGGGUUUCUUGGUAUUAUUUGCAUUAGGCCCUUUCAACAAAACAGGAACAAGUGAAAUACAUUCAUAUUUAAACCAAAUUGCUUCAAAACAUACCUCUUUACCAAAAAUUCUGCUGUACUAAAAUUAAGGAGUAUUUUUUAAAGCAUAUAUAAGGCAGGUCCUCUUUGAAGGACAAUUAAAAAUGGGGUUAAAAGGAAUUGUUCACUUCAAAAUACAGUUAAAGCAUUAUAAGUAGCUAUAUUAAAACCAAGAGAUCUGCAAACCAUUUUUAGUCUAAUACAUUCCAUUUUUUCACUAGCUUUGUAAACUCCUUGUUGUCAUAAGAUAAUAAAGCUGGUCAAUUAACACUAUUUGUUCUAAGUAAAUGCAGGCUUAGUAGGCCCCUCAGUAGUUUCAGGUCACAAACAAGAUUGAUUCAAGUAAAAAUGGCCAUUUUAAUGCAUCUUUUAAAGGAAGCUUUGCUUGAGUCCCUGAAAGGAAACAAACUAGUUUCACUCUGCAACAGAACCUCAGCCUGACAUUUAGGUUUGCUGGUGCCAACUGCUUAAUUCCAACCAAACGGUGGGUGCAGGUUACCUGCUGAAAGCUUCUUAACUGACUUAAGUUCUUGCAAAAGAUUAAUCACUGUUCCAUAGUCUCAUAGAUAAGAUAUUCUUAAAGACUGGAAACACAUUUAAAGAGUGGGUAAAGCAAAGGAAUUAGGCUAGGAGAAGAUGCAUAAAUGCACACAAUGCCUGCUCUGCAUUUACUGAUUUGUUUGUUCAGUUUAAAUAGUAAACUUCUAACUCCUGUGGAAAUUUUGCCAAAAGUUUCAAUACAUAGAAGAUUAUAAAUCUUAAACUAACACUGCACAGAGAAAGACAAAGCUACUUCUUUUUUUAAAUACAAAUAUCGUCUACAUUCUAUCAUUUCAAACCCCUGAGUAAUACUGUACCAAAGUACAGAUCUGAAGAGAAACUGAGGGUUCAGGCCUCAAACGUUAAUCUUCAAUUGAUUCCACACCAAUGGCAUGAGUCUCAUGUAACACAUUCAGGCUAGUUAAUCCUGACAGUCAGUUUCCCCCUAACAUAGUAAUAGAAAAAAAUAAUGCAAACUCCAUAUUCACUCUCCAAAGUAUAUCCUCCUCAGGAUCCCAUGGGCAGACCGUAUCUUAAGUAAUUGCAUAACUGCCUAGGAUAGAGUUUACCUGAAUUUAAGGGUCCUGUAAUUGGAACUGAAGGAAAGUGAUGUCCCCAAAGACCUGGAUCAGAUUUGGGGAGUUCUUUGGAGAAUUUAGACAAAUAUGUUGCACUUUGCUCCACAGUGAUUGUACUUUAAAGGAAAAAGAAAAAUCCCAAAUUGUU